rnacentral:rRNA from 1 species
GAUGAACGCUGGCGGCGUGCCUAAUACAUGCAAGUCGAGCGAACGGACGAGAAGCUUGCUUCUCUGAUGUUAGCGGCGGACGGGUGAGUAACACGUGGAUAACCUACCUAUAAGACUGGGAUAACUUCGGGAAACCGGAGCUAAUACCGGAUAAUAUUUUGAACCGCAUGGUUCAAAAGUGAAAGACGGUCUUGCUGUCACUUAUAGAUGGAUCCGCGCUGCAUUAGCUAGUUGGUAAGGUAACGGCUUACCAAGGCAACGAUGCAUAGCCGACCUGAGAGGGUGAUCCGCCACACUGGAACUGAGACACGGUCCAGACUCCUAAGGGAGGCAGCAGUGGGGAAAUUUGGCCAAUGGGGGGAAGCCUGAACGAGCCAACCCGGGUGGGUGAAGAAGGUCUUCGGGUUUGAAAACCUUUUUGUUGGGAAAGAAAAAAAGGGGGAAAAAACUGUGCACUUCUGACGGUACCCAAAGAAGAAGCCCCGGCCAACUUCGUG